AACGAACGCUGGCGGCAGGCCUAACACAUGCAAGUCGAACGCGCGUAGCAAUACGCGAGUGGCGCACGGGUGAGUAACACGUGGGAACCAACCCAGAGGUUCGGAAUAACCGCGGGAAACUGCGGCUGAUACCGGAUAUCCCCUACGGGGGAAAGAUUUAUCGCCUCUGGACGGGCCCGCGUCCGAUUAGCUAGUUGGUGAGGUAAUGGCUCACCAAGGCGACGAUCGGUAGCUGGCUGAGAGGACGACCAGCCACACUGGAACUGAGACACGGU
rnacentral:rRNA from 1 species